rnacentral:lncRNA from 1 species
GGUGUAAACUGGCAGAAAAUGAGCUGUGAUAUUUCUACUUUAAGAUGAGAAUGAGAAACAACUUAUCUUGAUAAAAGCGUAGAAAUUGGUUUCUUCAGGAAGCCUUCCCUGCUUCUCUAGUUUGAGUUUCUUCAACUGUUUCAAAUGCUGGAGCAUAGCACACAUGAAGCAAUCCACCGAGGAAGCUCUGCUCAUCCAUUUUUCUCUUGGCUGUCCUUGCACUUUGGUCUCACUCUAUCAGCAAGACUGGAGUGCAGUGGCACGAUUUCAACUCACUGCAACCUCUGCCUCCUGGGUUCAAGUGAUUCUUGUGCCUCAGCCUCCCAAGAUUUAACAUUUCUUUGGAUAUUUUGUGUGUGAAACAGUAGACAGAAUUUCUCCAUGUUGCCCAGGCUGAUCUCGAACUCCUGGAUCAAAUGGUUCACCCACCUCAACCUCUCAAAGUGCUGGAAAUACAAGUGGAUUACAACAUGAUAAAGAGGAGAAAAAAGAUACCAGAAUGAUGCUUCCUGCCCUUUAACAUCGGACUCCGAGUUCUUCAGCUUUUGGAUUCUGGAUCUAUACCAAUGGUUUGCCAGGGUCUCUUGGACCUUUGGCCACACACUGAAGGCUGCACUAUUGGCUUCCCUACUUUUGAGGUUUUGGGACUCAGACUGGCUUCCUUGUUCUCCUCAGCUUGUAGAUGGCCUAUUGUGUGACUUCACCUUGUGAUCAUAGCUUACAAAAAGCUUGAUUGAAAAGAGAAGAGAAUGGAACACGGUAUGAUGACAACAAAGAGAAAAGGAGCCAAGAUUAGUCUGGACAGUAUGCAGACAUUGACUCUGCUUUGAGGACAGAGCUGGAAUUAAUUUCACGUGCACCACAUAAGGUACUUAGAGUCGGAAAG